GACGAACGCUGGCGGCGGGCUUAACACAUGCAAGUCGAACGGAAAGGCCCUGCUUUUGUGGGGUGCUCGAGUGGCGAACGGGUGAGUAACACGUGAGUAACCUGCCCUUGACUUUGGGAUAACUUCAGGAAACUGGGGCUAAUACCGGAUAGGAGCUCCUGCUGCAUGGUGGGGGUUGGAAAGUUUCGGCGGUUGGGGAUGGACUCGCGGCUUAUCAGCUUGUUGGUGGGGUAGUGGCUUACCAAGGCUUUGACGGGUAGCCGGCCUGAGAGGGUGACCGGCCACAUUGGGACUGAGAUACGGACCAGAGUCCUACGGGAGGCAGCAGUGGGGAAUAUUGCACAAUGGGCGGAAGCCUGAUGCAGCAACGCCGCGUGCGGGAUGACGGCCUUCGGGUUAUAAACCGCUUUCGCCUGUGACGAAGCGUGAGUGACGGUAAUGGGUAAAGAAGCACCGGCUAACUACGUG
rnacentral:rRNA from 1 species